rnacentral:rRNA from 1 species
AGAUGGCGACCGGCGCACGGGUGAGUAACACGUAUCCAACCUGCCGAUAACUCGGGGAUAGCCUUUCGAAAGAAAGAUUAAUACCCGAUGGUAUAAUCAGACCGCAUGGUUUGAUUAUUAAAGAAUUUCGGUUAUCGAUGGGGAUGCGUUCCAUUAGGCAGUUGGUGAGGUAACGGCUCACCAAACCUUCGAUGGAUAGGGUUCUGAGAGGAAGGUCCCCCACAUUGGAACUGAGACACGGUCCAA